CCAGGAUAGUUUAAUAAAACACUAGGUCGUGACCCUAACAAUAGAAUUAACCAUUCUUCCUAGCU
rnacentral:tRNA from 1 species